rnacentral:lncRNA from 1 species
UGUUUUAGUGUGGUAAUUGAUCAAUAUAUCGUAGUCUAAAUACCUCGAAGACUAUCAAUCUAAAUAGAAAACCGUAGUCAUAAAUAUCCAUUGAUGUAGUCUAUAAAUACUAUAGACUAUCUUUUCUAGUUGACAAACCGUAGUCUAUUCAUCCAAUACACUACAUUGCUGAACAUAAUUAACUACGGUUUCCACGUGUCGUAUAUGAUUGCAUAUAGACUACGUCUGAUUCAUGUAGUGUAUGUGCGUCUAAAAGUGUAGAGAUAAGUAACUAUAGACUACGGUGUAAUCAACGUAGUCUAUAUUGAUGGGAAUAGACUACACCAUCUAGUACUACGGUUGUUGAAUCACAUAGACUACGGCUAAAAAACGUAGUCUAUGAGCUUUUUUGUAGUAGUG